AGUGAACUUCGUUUAUAGUGGAGCUCUUUUUUUAUUUCGUUUUUUUUACGGAAUAAAAAAAAGCGGGAACGGAAAGCCCGACCCGAC
rnacentral:sRNA from 1 species